UGAUGCAGCACGCCGCGUGACGAUGAAGGUCUUCGGAUCGUAAAGUUCUGUUGCAGGGGAAGAUAAUGACGGUACCCUGUGAGGAAGCCCCGGCUAACUACGUGCCAGCAGCCGCGGUAAUACGUAGGGGGCUAGCGUUAUCCGGAUUUACUGGGCGUAAAGGGUGCGUAGGUGGUCCUUCAAGUCGGUGGUUAAAGGCUACGGCUCAACCGUAGUAAGCCGCCGAAACUGGAGGACUUGAGUGCAGGAGAGGAAAGUGGAAUUCCCAGUGUAGCGGUGAAAUGCGUAGAUAUUGGGAGGAACACCAGUAGCGAAGGCGGCUUUCUGGACUGCAACUGACACUGAGGCACGAAAGCGUGGGUAGCAAACA
rnacentral:rRNA from 1 species